rnacentral:lncRNA from 1 species
AAUUGCCAGGUGCUGAAUUGAAUAACAUAUAUUGACAGAAAACAGGCAGCUUGGGCGGAAUUGGAACUGGAAAAAAGCGGCAGAAUUAUUUUGACAAAAAUGAGUCACGUUCCGUCAAAUUAUUUGGUGAUAUCUUCCAACUUUUAUGUUUUUAAUUUCAACAUUAUGUUAGGCUAAGUCUUUUCAUGUAUUGGAUGAUGACAAAAUUGUUUAAUUUUUAGUUUUAAUUCGAGACCUAUGUUUUUAUGUUAAUCAUCGCGUUGUGAUUCCAAUAAUAUGCAUAACUAGAUUGUUUUAAUGUUUGC